AAAUUACAGUCCAGUUGCAGUUGUACGUGGUACUUCUCUGCUCAAAACCCACCCAUUAAAUCACGCUUCUCUUCGGAACUGCAAAGUUAUGAAGGGUGUGAUCCUGAACUUUUCUCAGUAGAGCGCACUGUCAGUUUGCUGGUGUGCCCCGGACACUGAGGUGGUGUGCAAACAGGAAGGGGUGGAGCCUGAGGUGGUGUGCAAACAGGAAGUGGUUGAAGAAACAGGAAGCUGGCCUGCUGAAGCUCACUGCUUUGGGACGGCGGUGGCCAUGGUAACGAUGUUCUGGGCCUGCUUCAGCGAGGGCAUGUCGAUCAUGCUACCACGGAAGAAAGCGCAGAGCAUCAGACUGCCGCUCCCCUGGAUGAGGACAUUAGCGCCGGUAAACGCCUCAGUGUCGCAGCUCCAGGGCGAACGAGUGGGAGGGGCGCGCAGACGCGGCUCCGGAACGCGUUUUACGCAGGAGCGUGUACCUUGCCCAACUUCUGGUGCUCCUGGAAAGCGGAGAUCAGGUCCCGGGCCCACCGGACCCUCUCUGGACUGGGGGAGAACUCCUCCUGCACGGUCUGGAUCUGGCUGGGAUGGAUGACUUGUUUUCCUUAAAAGAUAAAAUAAAAAAAUAAAAAAAUGAUUAAAUAGUAAAGACAUAUAAAUGAAUUCG